UACAGAGACUGCAAGCGUUAUUCGGAUUCACUGGGCGUAAAGGGUGCGUAGGCGGUCGGGUAAGUCUGAUGUGAAAUCUCACAGCUUAACUGUGAAACUGCAUUGGAUACUAUCCGGCUCGAGGAAUGGAGGGGAGACUGGAAUACUUGGUGUAGCAGUGAAAUGCGUAGAUAUCAAGUGGAACACCAGUGGCGAAGGCGAGUCUCUGGACAUUUCCUGACGCUGAGGCACGAAAGCCAGGGGAGCAAACGGG
rnacentral:rRNA from 1 species